GGCGGAGGGAAGCUCAUCAGUGGGGCCACGAGCUGAGUGCGUCACGUCACUCCACCCCCAUGUCCCUUGGGAAGGUCUGAGACAAGGGCCAGAGGCGGCCCUAACAGGGCUCUCCCUGAGUGUCGGGGAGGUGAGUUCCCAGAGAACGGGGCUCCGCGCGAGGUCAGACUGGGCAGGAGAUGCCGCGGACCCCGCCCCUCGGGGAGGGGCCCGGCGGAUGCCUCCUCAGCCGGAGCUUGGAACAGACUCACGGCCAGCGAAGUGAGUUCAAUGGCUGAGGUGAGGCACCCCGCCCCGGGGGCCUCAUAACCCAAUUCAGACUACUCUCCCCCGUC
ensembl:ribozyme RNaseP_nuc Nuclear RNase P